ACGGAGGGUGCGAGCGUUAAUCGGAAUCACUGGGCGUAAAGCGCACGUAGGCGGCGUCGUAAGCCGGAUGUGAAAGCUCUCGGCUCAACCGGGGAACUGCAUUCGAUACUGCGACGCUUGAGUGCCGGAGAGGGUGGCGGAAUUCCAAGUGUAGGAGUGAAAUCCGUAGAGAUCUGGAGGAACACCAGUGGCGAAGGCGACUACCUGGCCUGCAACUGACGCUGAGAUGCGAAAGCCAGGGGAUCAAACGG
rnacentral:rRNA from 1 species